GAUGAAGAACGCAGUGAAAUGCGAUAAGUAAUGUGAAUUGCAGAAUUCAGUGAAUCAUCGAAUCUUUGAACGCACCUUGCGCCCUUUGGCCAUUCCGAAGGGCAUGCCUGUUUGAGUAUCAUGAACACCUCAACUCUCAUGGCUUGCCAUGAUGAGCUUGGACUUUGGGGGUCUUGCUGGCCUGCGGCCAGCUCCUCUCAAAUGAAUUAGCUUUCCAGUGUUUGGUUGGCAUCACAGGUGUGAUAACUAUCUACGCUUGUGGUUUCCACCAGGUAACCUUCAGUAACAUGGGGGUUUGCUGGAGCUCACAAAUGUCUCUCCUCAGUGGGGACAGCUCUUUGAACGUUUGAUCUCAAAUCAGGUAGGACUACCCGCUGAACUUAAGCAUAUCAAUAAGCGGAGGA
rnacentral:misc_RNA from 1 species